rnacentral:tRNA from 1 species
ACUCUAAUAGUUUAUAAAAACAUUGGUCUUGUAAACCAAAAGAUGAAGAUUGCCCCUUCUUAGAGUU